rnacentral:lncRNA from 1 species
AAAUGUUAACAUAGCAUUUUAUGCUAUAAAUAUUUUGUGAUCCCUUAACCACGAGACAAUGAAAGAGUAGAAGACUUGGAAGUUGGAAGUUUGAGACUUUGAAAAGACGUGUGGGAAUGUUUGGUUCAACAACGAGAAGCCGAAACAACAACAAAACCAAAUCCAAACCCAACACAUAAAGCAAACGCACUUUUGAAAUUGAAUUUCUAAAAUUUUCAACUUUUUCAUUCAACAAAUAAGAAGACUAUUUUCAUUAAUUAUUUAGUUUAAUUAUCAAACCAAACCAAAUUCAAAAGAGAUUCAUUAAAAAAAAAGAAAAAAAAGAAAAAACAAAAACAAAACAUGUUGUAUUGUAUAAACUCUUCAUUAUCCAACUUCUGCUUCUGUCUCUCUCCACAACUUUCUCUCUCUAAGGACCCUUCUGCCUCUCUUCUUUGAUUUUUCCAGCUAAAUUUUUAGUCGUCGAAAAACCAUUCGAUGAAAUAAUCUACUGUAAAAUAUUUCGAUUUUUGAAAGAAAAAAACAAAUUCGUUUUUAUUUUGUUUAUGUUUUCUGUAAAUUUUUUAAUUUUUUGAUUUUAAUUGUAUAUUACGAUACUGAUCAAUAAAAGUUGUUUAUCAAAUUGAUAUCUUUUUGAUUUUCGUUUCUGGGUAUUAAACAUAUAAACCCAAAAAAACUCUUUCAAUUUCAAACAAUUGUUUUUUUUUUCUUUUAUAAUUUGCUUUUGCUUUCGUUUGUUGUCUGAAAGCAGUUUCUAUUUUUCUUCAGCAAACCAAAAUCAAACCGGCUCUUGUUUCGAUUGAGAGCUUUUUUUAUCUGGGUUCUUCACAAAACCCAACACGAACCCACUUGAAAGCUGAAAAUUUGAAAUUUUAGAGCUGUUUCUUUACAUAAUGAUAUCGGAUUUUUUUUUUUUGGGAGCUCAAAAAGGUUUUGAUUUUUACAAUAGAAACAGCCUGGGGUUAUGCUUGAACAACAAAUUGGAGACAUAGAACUGAAUUUAGUGUUCAGCUGUUUCUUUACAUAAUGAUAUCGGACUGGGUUCUUCACAAAACCCAACACGAACCCACUUGAAAGCUGAAAAUUUGAAAUUUUAGAGCUGUUUCUUUACAUAAUGAUAUCGGAUUUUUUUUUUUUUGGGAGCUCAAAAAGGUUUUGAUUUUUACAAUAGAAACAGCCUGGGGUUAUGCUUGAACAACAAAUUGGAGACAUAGAACUGAAUUUAGUGUUCUGGGUAUUCGUUAAUUUCAUUGUCCGGUUCUUUUCUGGGAUGAGGAAUAGUACUGAUGGGCCUAAACCGCAAAACGGUGUCGUUUCGCGGUCCACAAAGAGCCCGUUUCGUGCCAUAUCGAGUUAUUUUAGGAUCGUGUCAUCUGGGGCGUCAACGGUGGCCAGGUCGGCCGUUUCUGUGGCGUCUUCUAUUGUGGAGAGAGAUGAUGAGUCAAGCCAUGAUCAGGUACUUUUACUUGUUUAUUUGCGAUUUUGUUUUUGGUUAAUUAAGUCAAAAUUGUGUUUGUGUUUUGAUGUAUUAGAAGUAGAGUAUUUCAAGCUUUGAGUUUGAAUGUGUUUGUUAUGUAGGUGUAAGUGCUUCUAAGGAAAGUGUAGUUCUGGCUGAAAGUAGGUAAACCUUAGUUUUUUGGUUAUGAACAAGUGCCAGCUGUGUAAUUCUUAUUCUGCUUAUAUUGACAUGUCCAAGUUGAUUUUGGCCUUUAAUUUGAAUGCAACUGUCAAGUUUAGAUGAUUUGUGGGUUGUAUAUAUCUUUUUUAAAAAGUUUUGAACCGAUGUAAUUUUGUAUUUAUGAGUGGAUACAUAAAAAAAUUCCAUAUGCCCAUGCAGAGAUUAUUAUUGGAUAUUUAGAUUUUGGGAUGUGGAAUAAGCAGGAGUUCUCUUUCCAGUUUUCCAAGUGGGUAUUCUGACUUUGGGGUGGAUUUCGAUGGACAGUUAUAAUGUGGCAUGCUUAUUUUAAAUUAUCUAUUAGUUGAAUUUGCGGGUGGAUGUUUAUACUUUAGUUUAUUUUUGGUAUAUAGCAAUGUGUGUAUGCGGUAAUCUGUUUUAUUAUUUUGGGCUGAGUGGUUGGUGGUGGCAUUUUGAUGCAAUCUAUCGAGUUGACAAGAGUUUCGGUAUGUUUAUCAUUUUGUCAUCUAAGUUUUAUGAUUGCGGAAUUAGUUCACUUGUGGUACCUGGUAAAACAAUUGUGGCUCGUGGGGUGAUCUUUUACCAAAGGAGUUGAGGAUUUGAGCUUGUUCAUUGACUUUUGCGAUAUGGUAUGAGUUGAAUCUCUGGAAACUUGUUUUUCUGUUUAUUUUGAAAUUUGUUUUGAAAUUUUUUGAAAAGAACGCUGGCUUUUAUUAACUUUUUCUUUUGUGCUCAGUAUGGAUGGCUAUGCUGCUGUCUUUCCUGUUGAUGUUAUUCUUAUGGCACGAUUCUUGCUAAUUUGAGUACUUGAAAUUAUGAUCUGAGAGUUGAAAUGGCUCAUACCAAAUUUCAUUUUUAUGAUAUAAAGGUGCUUUGGGCUGGGUUUGACAAAUUAGAGAGUGAGGCAGGUGCAACACGGCGAGUCCUGCUGCUGGGGUAUCGGUCUGGUUUCCAGGUUUGGGAUGUUGAAGAGGCGGAUAACGUUCAUGACCUGGUCUCCCGAUAUGAUGGUCCUGUCUCAUUUAUGCAAAUGUUACCAAGACCAAUAACAUCAAAAAGAUCGAGAGACAAGUUUGCAGAAGUCAGGCCACUCCUGGUAUUUUGUGCUGAUGGGUCCCGUUCUUGUGGUACUAAAGUUCAGGAUGGGUUAGCUACUGCUUGCAAUGGGACUUCUGCAAACUACCAUGACUUGGGGAAUGGCAGUUCUGUGCCCACGGUUGUUCAUUUUUAUUCCUUGAGAUCUCAGUCUUAUGUGCAUAUGCUAAAGUUCAGGUCUCCCAUUUAUUCUGUAAGAUGCAGCUCUAGAGUUGUUGCCAUAUGUCAGGCAGCUCAGGUAUUUACUUGUGCAUUUGUUUCCAACCACUCGUAUCUUUCCCCUAGUCAGUGUAUGAGAAUUAAUUUUUCACAUACUGCAGGUACACUGCUUUGAUGCUGCAACAUUAGAGAUUGAAUACGCAAUUCUAACAAAUCCUAUAGUUAUGGGACAUCCUAGUGCUGGAGGUAUAGGUAUUGGCUAUGGACCUCUCGCUGUUGGUCCCAGGUGGCUGGCUUAUAGUGGAAGUCCAGUUGUUGUCUCAAAUGACGGGCGUGUAAAUCC